rnacentral:sRNA from 1 species
UGGGCUGGUCGAAAGACCCGGGUCCAACCUACUAGGCGGGGAAACUCCCC